rnacentral:siRNA from 1 species
GGUUUGGGAGGCUGAGCCAGCUA